rnacentral:rRNA from 1 species
GAUGAACGCUAGCGGCAGGCCUAACACAUGCAAGUCGGACGGGAUUCAGGAGCUUGCUUCUGAUGAGAGUGGCGCACGGGUCCGUAACACGAUAGUAACGUACCCUGAUCACUGGGAUAGCCUCUCGCAAGAGAGAUUAAGCUCGCACAAAAUCUCACCACAGCAUUGUGUAACGGUCAAAUAUUUAUAGGAUACAGAUGGGCAUGCGGAACCUUAGCUAGAUGGCGGGGUGACGGUCCACCCCGGCGACGAUGUUUAGGGGAUCUGAGAGGAUGGCCCCCCACAAUUGGACUGGGGCACGGACCCGGCUCCUAAGGGAGGCAGGAGUAAGGGAUAUUGGUCCAUGGGCGGAAGCCUGAACCAGCCAUGCCGCGUGCAGGAAGGCGGGCCUACGGGUUGUAAACUGCUUUUGUACGGGGAUAAACCCAGGUACGUGUGUCUGGCUGAAUGUACUGUAAGAAUAAGGAUCGGCUAACUACGUG